rnacentral:tRNA from 1 species
GCGCCCGUAGCUCAAUUGGAUAGAGCGUCUGGCUACGGACCAGAAGGUUGUGGGUUCGAGUCCUUCCGGGCGUAC